ACCCACAGCAGUCACCAGCUCAACCAGGGAAGGAAACGCACCACCCUGCUAGCCCUGCUUCAGCCUUGGGUGAGGCUGUGAAGGCUGGUGACGGGAAAACUGGAGCAGAGAAGACAAAUCCAGCCUGAGCCAAGAGGCCUCUGCAUCGCUGGUCAGGAAAAAGCAACUGCUAGAUUUCUGGUUUGCCCCUCAGACCGUGGAGCUCCGGGUCACCAGCCUGAACCGCUUAAUGCACAUCACGCCUGGGUUUAGUUGGAAAUGGCUGAAGGCACUUAAAUGGAACUCCCAACCUUUGUCCUCAGCUUCCGAAACCACAGAAACUCGGAUUCCUGUCCUCACAGCUGGAACUUUCUCUUCACACUAAUUAGAAAACCAUCCUCUGGGAAAUGCGGCAUCUUUAUUGAGUCAAUCUUUGGUGAUGACUAAGUCAACUGGCAAGAUGAAGUUUACAUCAGGGAGAUGAAGGCACUAAAACCCUUCCAGUACACUGGUCCCAGGCCUGAAGCCAAUAAGCCAGGCUGACCUGACAGAUAUCCAGACCCCCACAUCUAGAGAAACUAAGGGUUGCAUUACAGAAGGACUAGCUAGAGGUUGGGGUCAACCCAGGGGUCAAAGAGCCAUGCCAGCUAUGAUCCCCCAGUUUUCUUCCCCUUCUUCCUAAUUUACAGUAGCUCUGGGUAUUAGCUGCAUAAUUAAGACCACAUUUCCCAGACUCCCUUGCAGUUAAUACAGUCAUGUGACUAAAUCCUCAUUAAUAAGAAUGCAAGCAGAAGUGGUAUCUGGAACUUCUAGGAAAGGUCCAUGUCCUUCUCCUUUCCCUUCUGUGUUGCUUGGAAGCUUUAGCUUCCAUACCAAUGAAUAGCAAAGCAUCAUACAAGUUCUGGACUAAUUUUCUGCCUUUUUUUUUUUUUCAAGACAGGGUCUCACUCUGUCACCAAGGUCUGAGUGCAGUGGCGCGAUCUCAGCUCACUGCAGCUUCAACUUCCCAGCUUCAAGCAAUCCUCCAACCUCAGCCUCCCAAGGAGCUGGGACUACAGGCGUGCACCACCAUGCCCAAAUAAUUUUUUUUUGUAGAGACAAGGUCUCACUAUGUUGCCCAGGCUGGACGCAAGCAAUCCUCCUGCCUCAGCCUCCCAAAGGGCUGGGAUUAUAUGCAUGAACCAUGGCACCUGGCCUUAAUUUCCUGGCUUUUGUUAAAAAAAAAGAAAAGAAAAGAAAAGAAA